AUGGAAUCUGGGGAUGCAGUAAUGUUCGUCAUGGGCGCCGAAGUUAUCCUCGAGGCUUUUGGAGCUUCUGGGUCGAAAUUUUGUCUUUUUCUACCAGAAUCCGAUCAGCAGAAAAUAAAAAUUAAAAGGUCAACGAAUUAUUGGUGCCAAGUUCAAUUGGGCUUGAAGCCCUUCCCUUACUCGAAUAUAAGGGUCAUCUGA